UUGUGCGUCAAUAGGGAAAGAACAAACUGGUCUUGGUAUCAUUCUGAUUGCAAGUACUAUUCUGUCUCCUCCUUUCAAUUCCUUUUGAAACCAAAUUCAGCUACUCCCACAUAAAACCGUACACCCCUUAAGAGUGACGUCAAGUGCUUGAAGUUCAUCCUUCUACUCAUCCAUCCUCAUUAGCCGCAACCACAAGAAAGAGACCAAGAAGAAUAACCUGUUAGCCUCUCUCAUCAUCAUCUUCCCAUGAGAUCGUAAGUGCUUUGAGGAGACAACAAGACACUAAGCACACUCUUUCCCUCCUCUCAUGAUUCGGCUGAGCACUAUUGAGAUAGAGGUGUAGGAUUUUUCCUAGUUCCAUGUUUCCCUCCAUUCAUCCGAUUUGAUAAGGAAUUCCUCUUGCAUGUUCAUGUCUUGCUUCUGAUCUAGGACUGCCAUCCGUUACAUGCAGAUUCUGGUUGGAGUUCAACACUUAUUCCCCUUUUGUUUGUGCACACCGUCAACCUAGUGGGAGAAAGUAAGAUAGCUUAGGAGUAAUCAUGUUCCUCCCACGAAGACCUAUUCGGUUUGGGAUUUCUUUCAUGGAGUGCAGUUUGAAUCCUUCCUCUUAAAGAAUAGAAAGAUGAAAGAACUUGCAUGUCAAUUGGCCUCUGCUUCUUUCGUGAUCGAAAUGUGAACCUUGGGCACCUCCAAAUAGAUGUGUGCUAACUUCUAAAAGUGUGGGCUGAUUGGUGAUGCUUUGAUAAAAAUAAAAUGUUAAAGACUCGAGGAGGACAGAAGAGCAUAUGAAGUCAUGAUUAUAUGGAUAUUUACUGUUUGGACUUUUGCUUUUGCUGUUCAUUUGACGGAUGACUGUAUUAAUUUGAGAAAUUUGGAUAAUUGUUGGAUUAUGAUUUUAUUGUUGAUUUAAGACUUUUAUGAUCAGCAAGUAUUUUGGAGGUAAAUUCUAGAAACAGUUUGUGAAAAUAAUU